UACGUAGGGCGCAAGCGUUGUCCGGAAUUAUUGGGCGUAAAGAGCUCGUAGGCGGCUUGUCACGUCGGGUGUGAAAGCCCGGGGCUUAACCCCGGGUCUGCAUUCGAUACGGGCUAGCUAGAGUGUGGUAGGGGAGAUCGGAAUUCCUGGUGUAGCGGUGAAAUGCGCAGAUAUUGGGAAGAACACCAGUGGCGAAGGCGGUUCUCUGGGACGGUACUGACGCUGAGACGCGAAAGCGUGGGGAGCGAACAGG
rnacentral:rRNA from 1 species